AUUGAACGCUGGCGGCAUGCUUUACACAUGCAAGUCGGACGAGUGGCGAACGGGUGAGUAACGCAUCGGAAAGUAGCGAGUAAUGGGGGAUAACUGUCCGAAAGGACAGCUAAUACCGCAUAUUAUUAGACAGGCCGAUGUCUGAAUAGCUGGUUGGCGGGGUAAAAGCCCACAAAGGCGACGAUCAGUAGCGGGUCUGAGAGGAUGAUCCGCCACACUGGGACUGAGACACGGCCCAGAAUCCUACGGGAGUCAGGAGUGGGGAAUUUUGGACAAUGGGCGCUAGCCUGAUCCAGCCAUGCCGCGUGUCUGAAGAAGGCCUUCGGGUUGUAAAGGACUUUUGUCAGGGAAGCGUUACCUGAAGAAUAAGCACCGGCUAACUACGUGCCAGCAGCCGCGGUAAUUC
rnacentral:rRNA from 1 species